AUGCAGUUGAUUUCCUUGAAGAAUAUAGUUAACUUCUCUUCAUUUUUUACGGGGUUAAUUUUUCUGUAUUCUAUAGUUAAAGCAUUCUGCAUUGCUUUUGGCAUGACAUUCUUCAGUGUGUUCGAUGUGCCAGUGUUUUGGCCUAUCCUUCUUUUCUAUUGGGUGGUGUUGUUUACUGUCACAAUGAAGCGUCAGAUCCUUCAUAUGGUGAAAUACAGAUAUGUUCCGUUCACCUUUGGGAAACAGCGUUAUAAUGGGAAAAGGGCAGCUUCUGCAGAUGAUCUCACACUUCCCAAGGAUUAA
rnacentral:rRNA from 1 species